UUAGGGAACAAAGCAUAGGCUUAAGCAGGGUAGCGGCGAGUGAAGCGGCAACAGCUCAAAUUUGAAAUCUGGCUCUUUCAGAGUCCGAGUUGUAAUUUGCAGAGGGCGCUUUGGCUUUGGCAGCGGUCCAAGUUCCUUGGAACAGGACGUCACAGAGGGUGAGAAUCCCGUACGUGGUCGCUAGCUAUUGCCGUGUAAAGCCCCUUCGACGAGUCGAGUUGUUUGGGAAUGCAGCUCUAAAUGGGAGGUAAAUUUCUUCUAAAGCUAAAUAUUGGCCAGAGACCGAUAGCGCACAAGUAGAGUGAUCGAAAGAUGAAAAGCACUUUGGAAAGAGAGUCAAACAGCACGUGAAAUUGUUGAAAGGGAAGCGCUUGCAGCCAGACUUGCUUGCAGUUGCUCAUCCGGGCUUUUGCCCGGUGCACUCUUCUGCAGGCAGGCCAGCAUCAGUUUGGGCGGUGGGAUAAAGGUCUCUGUCAUGUACCUCUCUUCGGGGAGGCCUUAUAGGGGAGGCGACAUACCACCAGCCUAGACUGAGGUCCGCGCAUCUGCUAGGAUGCUGGCGUAAUGGCUGUAAGCGGCCCGUCUUGAAACACGGACCAAGGAGUCUAACAUCUAUGCGAGUGUUUGGGUGUCAAGCCCGAGCGCGUAAUGAAAGUGAACGGAGGUGGGAACCCGCAAGGGUGCACCAUCGACCGAUCCUGAAGUUUACGGAAGGAUUUGAGUAAGAGCAUGGCUGUUGGGACCCGAAAGAUGGUGAACUAUGCUUGAAUAGGGUGAAGCCAGAGGAAACUCUGGUGGAGGCUCGCAGCGGUUCUGACGUGGCAAAUCGAUCGUCAAAUUUGGGGCAUAGGGGCGAAAGAACUAAUCGAACUAUCUAGUAGCUGGUUCCUGGCCGAAGUUUCCCUCAGGGAUAGCAGUAACGUAUUCAGGUGUUAUGAGGUAGAAGCGAAUGAUUAGAGGCAUGGGGGUUGAAACAACCU
rnacentral:rRNA from 1 species